rnacentral:rRNA from 1 species
UGGGGAAUCUUGGACAAUGGGGGCAACCCUGAUCCAGCCAUGCCGCGUGAGUGAAGAAGGUCUUCGGAUCGUAAAGCUCUUUCAACGGUGAAGAUGAUGACGGUAGCCGUAGAAGAAGCCCCGGCUAACUUCGUGCCAGCAGCCGCGGUAAUACGAAGGGGGCAAGCGUUGUUCGGAAUUACUGGGCGUAAAGGGCGUGUAGGCGGUCUAAUCAGUCAGUGGUGAAAGCCCUGGGCUCAACCCAGGAAUUGCCUUUGAUACUGUCAGUCUUGAGUCCGGAAGAGGCGAGUGGAAUACCGAGUGUAGAGGUGAAAUUCGUAGAUAUUCGGUGGAACACCAGUGGCGAAGGCGACUCGCUGGUCCGGUACUGACGCUGAGGUGC